rnacentral:rRNA from 1 species
UGGGGAAUAUUGGACAAUGGGGGGAACCCUGAUCCAGCCAUGCCGCGUGUGUGAAGAAGGCCUUAUGGUUGUAAAGCACUUUAAGCGAGGAGGAGGGUACUGGUAUUAAUACUACCAGGUACUGGACGUUACUCGCAGAAUAAGCACCGGCUAACUCUGUGCCAGCAGCCGCGGUAAUACAGAGGGUGCAAGCGUUAAUCGGAAUUACUGGGCGUAAAGCGCGCGUAGGUGGUUCGUUAAGUUGAAUGUGAAAGCCCCGGGCUCAACCUGGGAACUGCAUCCAAAACUGGCGAGCUAGAGUAGGGCAGAGGGUGAUGGAAUUUCCUGUGUAGCGGUGAAAUGCGUAGAUAUAGGAAGGAACACCAGUGGCGAAGGCGACCACCUGGGCUCAUACUGACACUGAGGUGCGAAAGCGUGGGGAGCAAACAGG